rnacentral:ncRNA from 1 species
CGAAGCCUUGAAUUGCGCCCUCGCAAGGGGGAGAUGCCCAGCGACUGUAAACAAGUGGGACUCGCAAGUCGGACGCCCAAAGCGGGCGGACGGCGACACUUUCGAAUUGCGGGGACAUCCUGAGAGCUCUGCCUACCAACUCGGCGAGGAAACUCGCCGGGGGCCCGUGUUAACAGCACGGGGUGCGGUAAAAACGGUAGAGAUUGGACAAUCCGCAGCCAAGCCCCUACGUCCAGCCGGAUACGGGGAAGGUUCACAGACUAAGUGGAAGUGGGUGCGGCCGGAAACCGGCCGCGCUUAAGAUAUAGUCGGGCCCUUGGUGAAAGCCAAGGGGUAAGUCACUGCAAAGACAAGUUUUGACGCUUAACCGUUCCGUAGGUGAACCUGCGGAAGGAUCAUUA